rnacentral:misc_RNA from 1 species
UCCGGUUUGGCACCGGCAGUCCCCCUAGAGUGCCCGGCUUUACCCGCUGGUAACUAGGGGCGGGGGUUGCGCUCGUUGCGGGACUUAACCCAACAUCUCACGACACGAGCUGACGACAGCCAUGCAGCACCUGUGCACGGACUCCGAAGAGGGCGCCCCGUUUCUGGGGCGUUUCCCGUACAUGUCAAGCCUAGGUAAGGUUCUUCGCGUUGCGUCGAAUUAAACCACAUGCUCCACCGCUUGUGCGGGCCCCCGUCAAUUCCUUUGAGUUUCAGCCUUGCGGCCGUACUCCCCAGGCGGGGCACUUCAUGCGUUAGCGCCGGCACCCAGGGGGUCGAUACCCCUCACGCCUAAUGUGCAUCGUUUACAGCUAGGACUAC